CUCUGAUAUCCUUGUGGACAUCCGAUAAAAUUGAAAUGAUACAAAGAAAAUCAGCAUGGCCAUGAGCAAGGAUGCGAAGGGAAAAAGAAAAAAGAAAGAAGGUUAG
rnacentral:snRNA from 1 species